rnacentral:rRNA from 1 species
GGCAGCAGGCGCGCAAAUUACCCACUCCCGGCACGGGGAGGUAGUGACGAAAAAUAACGAUACGGGACUCAUCCGAGGCCCCGUAAUCGGAAUGAGUACACUCUAAACCCUUUAACGAGGAUCAAUUGGAGGGCAAGUCUGGUGCCAGCAGCCGCGGUAAUUCCAGCUCCAAUAGCGUAUAUUAAAGUUGUUGCGGUUAAAAAGCUCGUAGUCGAAUUUGUGUUUCGCGCCGCCGGUUCAUCGCUCGCGGUGUUCAACUGGCGUGUCGCGGAACGUCCUGCCGGUGGGACCUGGCGUUCGCGUCAGGCCCCAACUUUAAAUCCUGCCGCGGUGCUCUUCACUGAGUGUCGAGGUAGGCCGGCACGUUUACUUUGAACAAAUUAGAGUGCUCAAAGCAGGCUAAAAUUUCGCCUGAAUAUUCUGUGCAUGGAAUAAUGGAAUAGGACCUCGGUUCUAUUUUGUUGGUUUUCGGAACCCCGAGGUAAUGAUUAAUAGGAACGGAUGGGGGCAUUCGUAUUGCGACGUUAGAGGUGAAAUUCUUGGAUCGUCGCAAGACGGACAGAAGCGAAAGCAUUUGCCAAAAACGUUUUCAUUGAUCAAGAACGAAAGUUAGAGGUUCGAAGGCGAUCAGAUACCGCCCUAGUUCUAACCAUAAACGAUGCCAGCUAGCGAUCCGCCGACGUUCCUCCGAUGACUCGGCGGGCAGCUUCCGGGAAACCAAAGCUUUUGGGUUCCGGGGGAAGUAUGGUUGCAAAGCUGAAACUUAAAGGAAUUGACGGAAGGGCACCACCAGGAGUGGAGCCUGCGGCUUAAUUUGACUCAACACGGGAAACCUCACCAGGCCCGGACACCGGAAGGAUUGACAGAUUGAGAGCUCUUUCUUGAUUCGGUGGGUGGUGGUGCAUGGCCGUUCUUAGUUGGUGGAGCGAUUUGUCUGGUUAAUUCCGAUAACGAACGAGACUCUAGCCUGCUAACUAGGCGUAUUUUCGACAUCCGAAAGGCCCGGCUGCCGUUGGCGCUCGCGUCGCGGUUGUUCGCGGUUUUUGCUGUCGGCGUACAACAUAUUCUUCUUAGAGGGACAGGCGGCUUCUAGCCGCACGAGAUUGAGCAAUAACAGGUCUGUGAUGCCCUUAGAUGUUCUGGGCCGCACGCGCGCUACACUGAAGGAAUCAGCGUGUCCUCCCUGUCCGAGAGGACCGGGUAACCCGCUGAACCUCCUUCGUGCUAGGGAUUGGGGCUUGCAAUUGUUCCCCAUGAACGAGGAAUUCCCAGUAAGCGCGAGUCAUAAGCUCGCGUUGAUUACGUCCCUGCCCUUUGUACACACCGCCCGUCGCUACUACCGAUUGAAUGAUUUAGUGAGGUCUUCGGAUCGGUACGCGGCAGCGUUCGCGCGUUGCCGAUGUUGCUGAAAAGAUGACCAAA